rnacentral:lncRNA from 1 species
UUUUCUAUGAUAUAAUUUUCAUAUAAAUAGUUACCAAUCUAGUAUUAAAGUGGUGCCUUUUGCAACAUUGUGUAUAGAUGAUGUAUGUUUUCGAUAGGAUGGUUUGAGGUUGGUUAGUCUAAACUAGUGCGUCUAGAGUUGAUUCGAGAUAUUAUUGAAAAGGUUAAGAUCAUCUAAGAGUGUUUAAUGCUAACUCGAAGUAGGAAGAGUCCUACUCCAAUCAAAGGUGUCAUCCUUAAGGCUUAGGGUGGGAGUCCAUGUAUUCCUACGUGUUUCAC